CCUGUUCCUGGAGAGAUACCCUCCUGUAGGUUUACAUCUAUCUAGUCCAGGGCUCUCCAACCCUGUUCCUGGAGAGAUACCCUCCUGUAGGUUUACAUCUAUCUAGUCCAGGGCUCUCCAACCCUGUUCCUGGAGAGAUACCAUCCUGUAGGUUUACAUCUAUCUAGUCCAGGGCUCUCCAACCCUGUUCCUGGAGAGAUACCCUCCUGUAGGUUUACAUCUAUCUAGUCCAGGGCUCUCCAACCCUGUUCCUGGAGAGAUACCAUCCUGUAGGUUUACAUCUAUCUAGUCCAGGGCUCUCCAACCCUGUUCCUGGAGAGAUACCAUCCUGUAGGUUUACAUCUAUCUAGUCCAGGGCUCUCCAACCCUGUUCCUGGAGAGAUACCAUCCUGUAGGUUUACAUCUAUCUAGUCCAGGGCUCUCCAACCCUGUUCCUGGAGAGAUACCAUCCUGUAGGUUUACAUCUAUCUAGUCCAGGGCUCUCCAACCCUGUUCCUGGAGAGAUACCAUCCUGUAGGUUUACAUCUAUCUAGUCCAGGGCUCUCCAACCCUGUUCCUGGAGAGAUACCCUCCUGUAGGUUUACAUCUAUCUAGUCCAGGGCUCUCCAACCCUGUUCCUGGAGAGAUACCAUCCUGUAGGUUUACAUCUAUCUAGUCCAGGGCUCUCCAACCCUGUUCAUCAAUCUA